GGCCGGGUCGUAUGGUAGUUCGUGAUGGUGACAGCUUCGUUGAUUCUUAUAUAGUCCACCCUCCGUUAGUAGGACAGGCAGAAUUUGUAUUGCGGAGUAAAUCUUGCUAUGUUCUGAUUUACUUUAACAAUGUUCCUUAUACCUGAAUAAAGAGUCUUUUAUGCUAUAUAUGAUCUUGUAGAUACCUAGAGUAGAUUGUAACACCCAAAAUUUGAUUUUCAAAUAACAGGAUUUAAAUUGAUUUAUUUAAGUAUUUUUUGUGAGCAUUUGAAUCUAGCAAAUAAAUAAUUUUGUGCAAAUUAAAAUUCAUCAUAAAUUUAGAAACAUGAAUUUGCAUUCAUGUUGGGGCAUAUUUUUUAUUUGUGCUGUGAGAUUCUAGAUUGAAGUUAAUUGUGUUCAAAAUUCUAUUUGAAAAGGGCUUUGAAAAAUAAAAUAGAAAAAAAAGAGGAGAA
rnacentral:lncRNA from 1 species